rnacentral:misc_RNA from 1 species
GGGCUGCUGUGGAAAGAGCAACUGCUGAAGCUCGACAAAGAGCACUAAAUGAGGCCUGCAAAAGAUUAGAGAAGGUAUGUGCAGAGGCUAGGGAAAAGUCCUUACCUGAUAAGGCACCUACGGAGGCCAGGCUCAGGGCAGAACGUGCUGCAGUAGAGAGAGCAACUGCAGAGGCCCGAGAGAGUGCUUUUGAAAAAGCAAUGGCUGAAAGGGCUUCUUCUGAGGCGGGAG